rnacentral:rRNA from 1 species
UACGGAGGGUGCGAGCGUUGUCCGGAAUCACUGGGCGUAAAGGGCGCGUAGGCGGCCUGAUAAGUAGGGGGUGAAAUCUUGCGGCUUAACCGCAAGGCUGCCUUCUAAACUGUCAGGCUAGAGCACAGUAGAGGCAGGUGGAAUUCCCGGUGUAGCGGUGGAAUGCGUAGAGAUCGGGAAGAACAUCAGUGGCGAAGGCGGCCCGCUGGGCAGUGGCUGACGCUGAGGCGCGACAGCGUGGGGAGCAAACAGG